AAAGCGUGCGCAGGCGGUUUUGUAAGUCUGUCGUGAAAGCCCCGGGCUCAACCUGGGAAUUGCGAUGCAGACUGCAAGGCUUGAAUCUGGCAGAGGGGGGUAGAAUUCCACGUGUAGCAGUGAAAUGCGUAGAGAUGUGGAGGAACACCGAUGGCGAAGGCAGCCCCCUGGGUCAAGAUUGACGCUCAUGCACGAAAGCGUGGGGAGCAAACAGGAUUAGAUACCCCAGU
rnacentral:rRNA from 1 species